GAUUCGUACUUACUGAAUAUCAGAAGCUACUCCCUUUUCAACCCCUCCUUUUUCUGCGUGGCAGUUGCUGCGUGGCAGUUGCAACCCCUCCUUUUUCUGCGUGGCAGUUGCAACCCCUCCUUUUUCUGUGUGGCAGUUGCUGCAUGGCAGUUGCAGUCCCUCCUUCUUCUGUGUGGCAGUUGCUGCGUGGCAGUUGCAACCCCUCGUUUUUCUGCGUGGCAGUUGCUGCGUGGCAGUUGCAACCCCUCCUUUUUCUGCGUGGCAGUUGCUGCGUGGCAGUUGCAACCCCUCCUUUUUCUGUGUGGCAGUUGCAACGCCUCCUUUUUCGGCGUGUCAGUUGCUAUGUGGCAGUUGCAACCCCUCCUUUUUCUGUGUGGCAGUUGAAAAUGAAAGUACCUCCAACCGGUUCCCUCCUGCAACCAAUCAGACUGAUUUGCGCAGAAUGAACCAGUGGGAAACCUAUAGAGGAUAAAACACAGAAGGGAGCACAGAGCUGCCUGGUCCUGCAGCUCUCCUGGAGUGAGGUGGUGCUGCUAACCACUGGAAGCUGAAGUCCAGAGGCUCUAUUCAGUCAAGGGGUGAUGAACUCUCUUUGGGUCUGGAGACAGGCUGGAACUGGGAUGAGAUAUGGAGACCCUGCCAUUUACGACAACGUGGAUGUAUCUGCAGGACAUUAAGACAAGUGCAAUAAGCAAGACACGGAAAGAAAAUAUAGCAUGGUCUCUCUUAUAUGUGGAAUUUUAAAAAUUAACUCUGAAUACUUUGGAUUAAACUGCUCUGAAAAAUCAAAUCUGUCCAUGGCAGUGCUAGCAUACUGUCUAUUAGAUUAAAUGAAGCUGUAAGCAUCUUUGAAGUACAAAUGAUACUUGGAAAGUAAAUGAAACUGGGAAUACUUGCAAGUAAAAUAUGGGAAGUCAAAGAGAUUAAAGGAUGAGAACCAGAAAUUGCUUAUGGCCAGUGUCCUGAGUAAGCCUCAGAAUCGCAUCCUAGAAGCAUCAAGUUCUUGUGUUACCCUAUGGAUCUAAAAAACGACUUCCUUAGUUUGAUGUAGUCUGCAGACAUCUCAUCAUCACAAAAACUUGAAAGCACUUACAGCACUAAGAAACUACCUUUGCAGAUUGUAAAAAAAGAUAGAAUCCUACUUAGUGUUUUGAUCACACCUGCCUAUUUCCCCAAGGUUUUACUGCAGGGUUAAAGAAUGAAUAAGCAUCUAGUUAUAUUUAAUAAACUCCAUGCCUUAUGGCUGAUUCUAAAGGCACAUGGCUUUGUUA
rnacentral:lncRNA from 1 species